rnacentral:rRNA from 1 species
UGGGAAUUUGGACAAUGGGCGAAGCCUGAUCCAGCAAUGCCGCGUGUGUGAAGAAGGCCUUCGGGUUGUAAAGCACUUUUGUCCGGAAAGAAAUCCUUGGCUCUAAUACAGUCGGGGGAUGACGGUACCGGAAGAAUAAGCACCGGCUAACUACGUGCCAGCAGCCGCGGUAAUACGUAGGGUGCAAGCGUUAAUCGGAAUUACUGGGCGUAAAGCGUGCGCAGGCGGUUUGCUAAGACCGAUGUGAAAUCCCCGGGCUCAACCUGGGAACUGCAUUGGUGACUGGCAGGCUAGAGUAUGGCAGAGGGGGUAGAAUUCCACGUGUAGCAGUGAAAUGCGUAGAGAUGUGGAGGAAUACCGAUGGCGAAGGCAGCCCCCUGGGCCAAUACUGACGCUCAUGCACGAAAGCGUGGGGAGCAAACAGGAUUAGAUACCCUGGUAGUCCACGCCCUAAACGAUGUCAACUAGUUGUUGGUGAUUCAUUUCCUUAGUAACGUAGCUAACGCGUGAAGUUGACCGCCUGGGGAGUACGGUCGCAAGAUU